CAAUCACCGCUGUGAAGGUGCUGCAUGGUUGUCGUCAGCUCGUGCCGUGAGGUGUCGGCUUAAGUGCCAUAACGAGCGCAACCCUUAUCUUCAGUUACUAACAGGUCAUGCUGAGGACUCUGGAGAGACUGCCGUCGUAAGAUGUGAGGAAGGUGGGGAUGACGUCAAAUCAGCACGGCCCUUACGUCCGGGGCUACACACGUGUUACAAUGG
rnacentral:rRNA from 1 species